UGAGACCGAUGCGCGAUUUCCGUCCUCCCGUUGCGGGUUUCGGCUCGUUUCGGGGCCAAAGGGCGACGCGCUCCGCUUUGGUGACUCUGGAUAACUCACUGGUCGAUCGCACGGGCUUCCACG
rnacentral:rRNA from 1 species